CCUACGGGUGGCAGCAGUGAGGAAUAUUGGUCAAUGGGCGCAAGCCUGAACCAGCCAAGUCGCGUGAGGGAUGACGGUCCUAUGGAUUGUAAACCUCGUUUGGCGGGAAGCAAGGCCCGCCACGUGUGUCGGGGAGGAGAGUACCCGAAGAAAAAGCAUCGGCUAACUCCGUGCCAGCAGCCGCGGUAGUACGGAGGAUGCGAGCGUUAUCCGGAUUUAUUGGGGUUAAAGGGUGCGUAGGCGGAAGGUUAAGUCAGUGGGAAAAUGUCGGUGCUAAACACCGGCUUGCCGUUGAAACUGGUCUUCUUGAGUGAGCGAGAAGUAUGCGGAAUGCGUGGUGUAGCGGUGAAAUGCAUAGAUA
rnacentral:rRNA from 1 species